AUUCAACUGACGAGUCCCAAAUAGGACGAGACGCGCGUCCUAUGAAAU
rfam:Schistosoma mattheei strain Denwood, Zambia genome assembly, scaffold: SMTD_scaffold0015049